GACGAACGCUGGCGGCGUGCUUAACACAUGCAAGUCGAACGGAAAGGCCCUGCUUUUGUGGGGUGCUCGAGUGGCGAACGGGUGAGUAACACGUGAGUAACCUGCCCUUGACUUUGGGAUAACUUCAGGAAACUGGGGCUAAUACCGGAUAGGAGCUCCUGCUGCAUGGUGGGGGUUGGAAAGUUUCGGCGGUUGGGGAUGGACUCGCGGCUUAUCAGCUUGUUGGUGGGGUAGUGGCUUACCAAGGCUUUGACGGGUAGCCGGCCUGAGAGGGUGACCGGCCACAUUGGGACUGAGAUACGGCCCAGACUCCUACGGGAGGCAGCAGUGGGGAAUAUUGCACAAUGGGCGGAAGCCUGAUGCAGCAACGCCGCGUGCUGGAUGACGGCCUUCGGGUUGUAAACCGCUUUCGCCUGUGACGAGGCGUGAGUGACGGUAAUGGGUAAAGAAGCACCGGCUAACUACGUG
rnacentral:rRNA from 1 species